rnacentral:tRNA from 1 species
GGGGUAAUAGCUUAGUGGUGGGGCGUGUGUCUAGCAUGCACAAGGUCCUGGAUUCAAUCCCCAAUACUUCCA